GGACGUAUGGUCUAGUGGUACGACGUCUCAGUUGCAAAUAAAUGUUCGCUGCGCUUGAACCUGUUACAAGACAGGUGAAAGAGUUCGAAGGUUAUAAAUGCUCCUUGAGAAGGCCCCAGGUUCGAACCCUGGUACGUCCA